rnacentral:lncRNA from 1 species
UCAAAAAAUAGAAAUACCUUAUUUACAUAAGUAUUCGGACCCUUUGCUAUGAGACUUGAAAUUGAGCUCAGGUGCAUCCUGUUUCCAUUGAUCAUCCUUGAGAUGUUUCUAGAACUUGAUUGGAGUCCACCUGUGGUAAAUUCAAUUGAUUGGACAUGAUUUGGAAAGGCACACACCUGUCUAUAUAAGGUCCCACAGUUGACAGUGCAUGUCAGAGCAAAACCAAGACAUGAGGUCGAAGGAAUUGUCCAUAGAGCUCCGAGACAGGAUGGUGUCGAGGCACAGAUCUGGGGAAGGCUACCAAAACAUUUCUGCAGCAGGUCACCAAGAACACAGUGGCCUCCAUCAUUCUUAAAUAGAAGAAGUUUGGAACCACCAAAACUCUUCCUAGAGCUGGCCGCCUGACCAAACUGAGCAAUCGGGGGAGAAGGUUGUAGCGUCAUACCCAAGAAGACUCAACGCUGUAAUCGCAGCAAAAGGUUCUUCAACAAAGUACUGAGUAAAGGGUCUGAAUACUUAUGUAAAUGUCAUAUUUCAGUUUUUCUUUUUUUAUAAAUGAGAAAAAAAAUUCUAAACCUGUUUUUGCUUUGUCAUUAUGGGGUAUUGUGUGUAGAUUGAUGAGGGACAUUUAAAAAAAAUCUAUUUUACAAUAUAGCUGUAACGUAACAAAAUGUGGAAAAAGUCAAGGGGUCUGAAUACUUUCUGAAAUCACUGUAAGGCUCUGGGUAUUUCUAUCUAUCAGUCAAUAGGCCUAUGGUUAAACUGUUCUCAGAAGUCUUCCCAUCCAAAGGUCUUCAAUAAAGCCCCCAUGCAGUCUUUUUAAUUAAAUGUUUAAAAAGCUUUGUCUAAUAUAUCAUUGUGUGUUUAUUUCAUAUAUUUUUUAUUUAUCAUUUAUUUUCCUGAGAUUUCGUUUGCCGUUGAAAUGCAACAAUCUGAUUGUGUGGCUCUGCCGAUACAUAUUUUAAUAUACUGGAGAAUAGGAUUCUCUAGACUCUAGUCUAGAGCCUACCAUGCUUACCCCUUCAAGUUAGGAGGAUACAUAUGUUAAUAUACUGGAGAAUAGGAUCCUCUAGACUCUAGUCUACCAUGCUUACCCCUUCAAGUUAGGAGGAUACAUAUGUUAACAUACUGGAGAAUAGGAUCCUCUAGACUCUAGUCUAGAGCCUACCAUGCUUACCCCUUCAAGUUAGGAGGAUACAUAUGUUAAUAUACUGGAGAAUAGGAUCCUCUAGACUCUAGUCUACCAUGCUUACCCCUUCAAGUUAGGAGGAUACAUAUGUUAACAUACUGGAGAAUAGGAUCCUCUAGACUCUAGUCUAGAGCCUACUAUGCUUACCCCUUCAAGUUAGGAGGAUACAUAUUUUACAUUUACAUUCUAGUCAUUUAGCAGAUGCUCUUAUCCAGAGUGACUUACAGUAGUGAAUGCAUACAUUUCAUACAUCUUUUUCCCCCGUAAUGGUCCCCCGUGGGAAUCGAACCCACAACCCUGGUGUUGCAAACACCAUGCUCUACCAACUGAGCCACAGGGGACUUUAAACAGCAGAAACCACCAGAGAGAGACAGGCUUCCUGGUGGUGUAGGACUUUAAACAGCAGAAACCACCAGAGAGAGACAGGCAUCCUGGUGGUGUAGGACUUUAAACAGCAGACACCACCAGAGAGACAGGCAUCCUGGUGGUGUAGGACUUUAAACAGCAGACACCACCAGAGAGACAGGCAUCCUGGUGGUGUAGGACUUUAAACAGCAGUCUCUGCCAGUCCCAGACGGUAGAUCAUGAAUCUGCCACUUGACCUCAGAAAACAAAUAAAAAUGAAUUGGUGAAGACAAGAAAAUCAAGAUAUAUACACACACACACACACACACACACACACACACACACACACACACACCCCUGCAGACGUCUUAUGGAGGGAGCAGAGCAGUCCCAGGAGGAGUAGAGCAGUCAGGGUCUUCAUGGUACAGAGAUGGUUGAGAUGUUGAAGAUUGUAUUGUCUAGAUGGUCUCUGAUGUUCUGGUCUCUGAGGAUGUGGUCUGGUUCUGUGUGUGAGUUCUGUUCUGAUCUCUCAUUAUAUAGUAACAGCUAUUAUAUAACAACUCAACCAUGAAAAGACAACUUUGCCAGCCAGAGCCCUUCCCCCAAUUUCUGUUCCUCUUCCCUGGUCAA